AUUGAACGCUGGCGGCAUGCCUUACACAUGCAAGUCGAACGGCAGCACGGGGCAACCUGGUGGCGAGUGGCGAACCGGUGAGUAAUGCAUCGGAACGUACCUUUCAGUGGGGGAUAACGUAGCGAAAGUUACGCUAAUACCGCAUAUUCUGUGAGCAGGAAAGCAGGGGAUCGCAAGACCUUGCGCUGAUUGAGCGGCCGAUGUCAGAUUAGCUAGUUGGUUAGGGAAAGGGUCACCAAGGCGACGAUCUGUAGCGGGUCUGAGAGGAUGAUCGGCCAGCCGGGGACGGAGACACGGUCCAGACUCCUACGGGGGGGAGCGGUGGGGAAUUUUGGACAAUGGGGGCAACCCUGGUCCAGCCAUGCCGCGUGAGUGAAGAAGGCCUUCGGGUUGUAAAGCUCUUUCGGCCGGGAAGAAAUCGCACGGGCUAAUACCCUGUGUGGAUGACGGUACCGGAAUAAGAAGCACCGGCUAACUACGUGCCAGCAGCCGCAGUAAUAC
rnacentral:rRNA from 1 species